rnacentral:lncRNA from 1 species
AAUCUCUGCUUUAGGAAAGGGACAAUGCAAUGCAAUGCUUCUUGCUUUGCGACUGUUCUCCUGGAUGCAAGACCGACGACUGCCGACCGACUGUUCUCACUCACCUUAACGAGACACACGAAAACAUGUUUAAAUCCAUGUCUAAAACGUCCUUCCUGUGCCCUUUUACACGAGUCUCUUUGGCCCCUCUUGGAAACAGCUGAAAAGGGAGAACGCUGCCUCCUCAGUCUGUUUGCUGCCCUAGGUUUGCUGUCUUUUAAAACAAGAACCCUCUGUCUCCCUGCCCUCACACAGGUGAUUGCAGCCUCAUGUUAAGUGUAACCAUCUGCACAGUGAGCUCGGGGCAGGAGGCAUCGUGGAGACGGCGGCUGACUUAGCCUCUCGAGCUGACAAAGAUCGACUUCGGGAGAGGUGGUGAUGAAUCAUAAACGCUGCCCAGCAGGGGAGUCAGAAGAAUUGCAUUGUCCAAGGAGAGCCUUUCUUUGUGUCUCUAAUAUUUAAGCCGAUGGCUUUAAGAGAAAUUUAUGAUCAGCCAUGAUUGGAGCUACUACCCAUGGACAUCUGUUAGACAGGCAGUAGAUGGUUUGCUAAUAGAAAUAUUUAUAAAUUGAGCUAUAUUAAAUUGUGUCUUGAGAAGGAACCAGCUUUAAAGUUUUUUCCUGAUUUUCUUGGCCGCGUUCUUUCACGGUUCUGAGGCACUGCAAUGGGGCUGGAUUCAAGACUCUUCAGUGACACUCAUGGGGAGUGACAGAGGUGCUGAGUGGCAGCUGUAAUCUCUCCAGUUUGAGAAAGUUGAGGAAGAAGGAAAUCGAUAGUUGGCCCAGAGUUUUC